UUUUAAUUGAAACAUUUUAUUCAUAUUUUAGAAAUAAGAAUUUUCUAAUUGGUUCAAUUGUGAAAUAUAUUACAAAAUGUAGUAAAUAAAGUUAUUUUGGUAUUUUGGGAGGCAUAAUAACAGUAGUAUUUGAGUAAUGAACAAAAACUUACAUGUGAACUAACCUUUUGCACUUCUCACCUCAAUUUACUCCGAUUGUCUUUCUACAUCCAUGUUCUUUUUUAAUAAAAAAUGGAUUUCUGAUUUUUGUAGAUAAUGGUAUUUUUAAUAGCUGAUUUAAAAAAUGGAGUAAAUGUAAAUUUAUAAAUAUGGAGGAUAUAUUAAAAAGUAAAAGUUUAAAAAUAAAUAGAAUAAAAACUGAAUACCUGAAAGAUAAUUUUAAUGUGGAGGCUGAUUCAUAUAUAUAUAUCCAAGAUCAUAAAUUAACAACAAUUAAUAAGAUGAACUAUCUAGACUCAAUGAUCCAAAAUGAUUCAAACUUAGAUGGUGAUCUGACAGAAUUAAUGCGACUGGACAACCAACAUUUAAUUUUGUUUGAAAAUGGAAGAUAGGCAAGUGGAAUUUUAUGUGAUAGAAAAAUACCAAUGAGACUUAAAAAUAAAGUUUAUAAAACUGUUGUUAAACUUGCUAUACUGUAUGGGAAUAAGAAAGCAGAAGAACAGAGAAUGCUUGUAGCCCAUAUAAUUCUAAGAUGGAUGAAUAAGGGUUAAAAGAAAGGACAGAAAUAGAAAUGACUAUAUCCGAAUUAGUUUGGCUGUAUCAUCAAUAGAAGAUAAGAAAAUAAACUGAAAUGGUUUGGCAUGCAGAAAGAGGAUCAAUUGUAAAGGGAGUUAAGGAAAUCUGGAACAUGAUGGUAUGCAGGCAAAAGAAAGGAAGAUGUCCCAAAAGAUUUAAUGGGAAGUCAUUAAAAAGGAUAUUGAUAUAUGUACCACAUGUGUAAAAAGCAAAUAAUAAAUCAAUACUGUUCAAAAACAUUAUGUGAAUAUAUACUUGAUAAAACUAAAUAAAACAGUUACAAUAAUAACAAUUUCAGUAAAAGACAAACUUGAAAAAUUUAAAUCAUAAAAAUGGUAUAAAAGGCCAUAACUCGUAAUAAUAAAUCAAAUACUGUAUGCUUAAAUUAAAAACUAUAUAUUCUGAAAAAAUCACUAUC
rnacentral:lncRNA from 1 species